rnacentral:snoRNA from 1 species
UUGGUCCUGAAUCAAGGCCAGCAGUUUGCCGAAGCUGUUGGUUUCAAGCAGAGCCUAAAGAAUUAUCUUUCUGGCUUGGCGCCUAUAGCUCAACCGGCUAAGGCGCCAGCC